rnacentral:sRNA from 1 species
UAAAGAAUAAAUUACUACCUACGUCUGA